AUCGCUUCUCGGCCUUUUGGCUAAGAUAAAGCAGUAUCUGUUCUUAUUAGUUUAAUAUCUGAUACGUCCUCUACCCGAGGACAAUAUAUUAAAUGGAUUUUUGGAACUGGGAGUCAGAAGACGAGCUUGCUCCGUCCGCUCCGGACAUCGACCUGGUAUUGCAGUACCUCCAGGAACAGUGUACCAAAA